AAGGCUGUGCUCGUAUGCCUCUUUCCAGAUUUGGCUGCUGCGUCUCCUGUCUGUCUGUCUGUCUGUCUGUCUGUCUGUCGAUGUGAUAAUGAGGCCACAGGGGGUUUACAACAGCGACACCCUAACUUGAAGAAAGGAAAAGCGUUCAAUUUAUCAUGUGCUGCCAAGCCCAAGUUUGCAUCGCAGCAUGUAAGAAAUAAUCAAAUGAGCCUGGCAGCCUGAAGAGAUGGCCAUUCAGAGGUUUGUUUUCCUUCCAUUCCAGCUUCUCCAACUUGCUGCAAUUUAUGAUGCAAAUUGGGGCAGCCAUAUUGAUCAUGAACUGCACUCAACCUGACCAGACAAGAAUUUCAUUUGGACACAGAUCAGAGGGAAGCCACCAGUGGAACAGAUGCUGAUAUUAUAAGAUAGGCAUGUGUGGAAACAUCAUAGGUAGAUGCCCAGAUUGCUUGUCAGGCACAAUUGGCAGGUAGCAGCUGUACAUCACUUUUGAGGUCAGAGGUACAAACAGACAUGCGCGCACGCACAUACACACAUGCACAAGCCAGUCUUAUUACCACUGCCCCGGAUAGAAAACAAACCAGACAAAAGACAGAGAUUCCGUCUUGCACACAACUGACAGUUGACAUUGAUGGAAAGGGAGUGACAAAAGUUUAGCUUGAUAUAUUUGUAAAAAAAACUCUAACACAAUACAAAAUAUAGAAAUUUAAAAAAGAAAUGCACGUCAUUUUUAUUCAGGUUCUGUUGUGUUGAUUUGUACUAUUCAUCUCUUGACCAUGGUUGUUUUUGUUUAGGAAGCCCCUACUGGCCAGGUAUUGCUACUGCACUUAGAAGUGUGCAGUCCUUGCAAAGGUCAAAGGUUAAAAGUAAAAUGGCUGACUCCAAACAGAGAGAGCAUGGAAGCAGGCCUCUUGGCAAAGUAAGUUUUUUUUCAAUGUGUUAUUUGGACUUUUGUUGCAUUAUUUUGAAGCUUGAAGUUUUUUCAAUGUGUUAUUUUGACUUUUGUUGCAUUUUUUGGAAAAGUCAGAUUAGCUUGUGUAAUCAAUUUAAUCUGGUUCCUGACAUCACCUGAUCAAACACAGUGAGUAAAUGUGUUGAACUCUGUUUAGACGUUUACCUACUUUGGAAUUGAAUGAAUCUUAUUUUAUGUGGAAAGAGAAAAUAUCCUCGAUUAUUCUUCGACAGGUUUUAAAUAUUUGUCUAUCACUGUUGUUGACCUUUUUUAAGCUGCCAUUGCCAGACUCCCUCCCACACACAUAAUCACACACCACAUGAGAAACACAAAGUGCAAUGCACUAUUUUGGACGACACACGCGGGGGCAUUUGCAUUUUGUUUGCUUUUAAUUUUCCAGACAGUAAGUUUUAACACAACAUGAAGUGAUUUUUC